GCUUGUCUCAAAGAUUAAGCCAUGCAUGUCUUAGUGUAAAUAACUCUUAUGAAACUGCGAAUGGCUCAUUAAAUCAGUUAUCAAAUACGUGAUGGUCGCCUACUACAUGGAUAACCGUGGUAAUUCUAGAGCUAAUACAUGCUGUUAAGCCUGACUUCUUGAAGGGCUGUAUUUAUUAGAUAACAGACCAAUAUUCCUCGUGUCUAUUGUGGUGACUCAUAGUAACUGAUCGGAUCGCACGGGCUUGCCCGCGACAAACCAUUCAAGUUUCUGCCCCAUCAGCUUUCGAUGGUAGUGUAUUGGACUACCAUGGCUUUUACGGGUAACGGAGGAUUAGGGUUCGAUUCCGGAGAGGGAGCCUGAGAAACGGCUACCACAUCUAAGGAAGGCAGCAGG
rnacentral:rRNA from 1 species